rnacentral:RNase_P_RNA from 1 species
AGUCGGAUAAAUGGUCGCUUAUUCUCAGAAGAGAACGAGAGGAAAGUCCGGGCUUCACAGGGCAGGAUGCCGGAUAACGUCCGGUGGAGGCGACUCCAAGGAUAGUGCAACAGAAAUAUACCGCCAGCUCCGUCUGGUAAGGGUGGAAAGGGGAGGUAAGAGCUCACCGAUUCUCUGGUAACAGAGGGUGCCAUGUAAACCCCAUCCGAAGCAAGACCAAACGUGAGACGAUAAACCUUGCCCGGGUUGUCUCCAGGUAGGUCGCUUAAGUCUGCCGGCGACGGCAGAUUCAGAUAGAUGAUCAUUCACGACAUAACCCGGCUUAUCGUCCGGCUCU